GCUGUGGCUCAGUGGAAGAGCAUCUGCUCUGCAUGCAGAAAGUCCCAAGUUCAAUUCCCAGCAUCUCCA
rnacentral:tRNA from 1 species